rnacentral:rRNA from 1 species
AUUGAACGCUGGCGGCAUGCCUUACACAUGCAAGUCGAACGGCAGCACGGGUGCUUGCACCUGGUGGCGAGUGGCGAACGGGUGAGUAAUACAUCGGAACAUGUCCUGUAGUGGGGGAUAGCCCGGCGAAAGCCGGAUUAAUACCGCAUACGAUCUACGGAUGAAAGCGGGGGACCUUCGGGCCUCGCGCUAUAGGGUUGGCCGAUGGCUGAUUAGCUAGUUGGUGGGGUAAAGGCCUACCAAGGCGACGAUCAGUAGCUGGUCUGAGAGGACGACCAGCCACACGGGGACUGAGAACCGGCCCAGACUCCUAGGGGAGGCAGCAGUGGGGAAUUUUGGAAAAGGGGCGAAAGCCUGACCCAGCAAUGCCGGGUGUGUGAAGAAGGCCUUGGGGUUGAAAAGCCCUUUUGUCCGGAAAAAAAUCCUUGGCCCUAAUACGGGGGGGGGAGGGCGGUACCGGAAGAAUAAGCCCCGGCAAACUACG